CGGGAGGUCUCUGUCGCCGCGCCGACGGUAGCGUCGGUGAGGAAAGUCCGGACACCACCACGCAGCGUGCUCGAUAACGUCGAGGCGGCGAUGCCUUCGGGCAAAGCCGACGGAAAGUGCCACAGAAACGACACCGCCUCUGCACCUAUAGCAGAGGUAAGGGUGAAAUGGUGCGGUAAGAGCGCACCGCACACGUGGUGACACGUGUGGCAGGGCAAACCCCACGCGGUGCAAGACCAAGCAGAUGCGGUCGUCCUGUGCGUGGCAGGCGCUUCCGAACUAACGGAAGCACGCAUCGGGUAGGUCGCGCAAGAGGCACACAGUAAUGUGCGGCCCAAGGUUCAUGGCGACACGGUACUACGUACCCGACAGAAUCCGGCUUAUCGGACCUUUCGCCAG
rnacentral:RNase_P_RNA from 1 species